AGAGUUUGAUCAUGGCUCAGGAUGAACGCUAGCUACAGGCUUAACACAUGCAAGUCGAGGGGCAGCAUGGUCUUAGCUUGCUAAGGCCGAUGGCGACCGGCGCACGGGUGAGUAACACGUAUCCAACCUGCCGUCUACUCUUGGACAGCCUUCUGAAAGGAAGAUUAAUACAAGAUGGCAUCAUGAGUCCGCAUGUUCACAUGAUUAAAGGUAUUCCGGUAGACGAUGGGGAUGCGUUCCAUUAGAUAGUAGGCGGGGUAACGGCCCACCUAGUCUUCGAUGGAUAGGGGUUCUGAGAGGAAGGUCCCCCACAUUGGAACUGAGACACGGUCCAAACUCCUACGGGAGGCAGCAGUGAGGAAUAUUGGUCAAUGGGCGAGAGCCUGAACCAGCCAAGUAGCGUGAAGGAUGACUGCCCUAUGGGUUGUAAACUUCUUUUAUAAAGGAAUAAAGUCGGGUAUGCAUACCCGUUUGCAUGUACUUUAUGAAUAAGGAUCGGCUAACUCCGUGCCAGCAGCCGCGGUAAUACGGAGGAUCCGAGCGUUAUCCGGAUUUAUUGGGUUUAAAGGGAGCGUAGAUGGAUGUUUAAGUCAGUUGUGAAAGUUUGCGGCUCAACCGUAAAAUUGCAGUUGAUACUGGAUAUCUUGAGUGCAGUUGAGGCAGGCGGAAUUCGUGGUGUAGCGGUGAAAUGCUUAGAUAUCACGAAGAACUCCGAUUGCGAAGGCAGCCUGCUAAGCUGCAACUGACAUUGAGGCUCGAAAGUGUGGGUAUCAAACAGGAUUAGAUACCCUGGUAGUCCACACGGUAAACGAUGAAUACUCGCUGUUUGCGAUAUACAGCAAGUGGCCAAGCGAAAGCGUUAAGUAUUCCACCUGGGGAGUACGCCGGCAACGGUGAAACUCAAAGGAAUUGACGGGGGCCCGCACAAGCGGAGGAACAUGUGGUUUAAUUCGAUGAUACGCGAGGAACCUUACCCGGGCUUAAAUUGCAGAUGAAUUACGGUGAAAGCCGUAAGCCGCAAGGCAUCUGUGAAGGUGCUGCAUGGUUGUCGUCAGCUCGUGCCGUGAGGUGUCGGCUUAAGUGCCAUAACGAGCGCAACCCUUGUUGUCAGUUACUAACAGGUCAUGCUGAGGACUCUGACAAGACUGCCAUCGUAAGAUGUGAGGAAGGUGGGGAUGACGUCAAAUCAGCACGGCCCUUACGUCCGGGGCUACACACGUGUUACAAUGGGGGGUACAGAGGGCCGCUACCACGCGAGUGGAUGCCAAUCCCAAAAACCUCUCUCAGUUCGGACUGGAGUCUGCAACCCGACUCCACGAAGCUGGAUUCGCUAGUAAUCGCGCAUCAGCCACGGCGCGGUGAAUACGUUCCCGGGCCUUGUACACACCGCCCGUCAAGCCAUGGGAGCCGGGGGUACCUGAAGUGCGUAACCGCGAGGAGCGCCCUAGGGUAAAACUGGUGACUGGGGCUAAGUCGUAACAAGGUA
rnacentral:rRNA from 1 species